rnacentral:rRNA from 1 species
GUGACCUCAAAUCAGGUAGGACUACCCGCUGAACUUAAGCAUAUCAAUAAGCGGAGGAAAAGAACUACAGGAUCCCCUAGAACUGCGAGUGAGCGGGAAAGCCAAUUAAAUCUGC